UACGUAGGGUGCGAGCGUUAAUCGGAAUUACUGGGCGUAAAGUGUGCGCAGGCGGCCGCGCAAGUCGAGUGUGAAAGCCCCGAGCUUAACUUGGGAACUGCGCUCGAAACUACGUGGCUGGAGUGUGGCAGAGGAAGGUGGAAUUCCAGGUGUAGCGGUGAAAUGCGUAGAUAUUGGGAGGAACACCGGUGGCGAAGGCGGCCCCCUGGACCGGUACUGACGCUGAGGCGCGAAAGCGUGGGUAGCAAACGGG
rnacentral:rRNA from 1 species